GGCAGCUUCAGUAAGAAUCUGGGUAAAAUUCAAAUUCAGCUUGAGUUAUAUUAAAUUAGCUGGCAUUCAAAAUACAUUUUUAUUAAGUGUUUAACAUAAGCCAGUCACUUAGGGGCUACGUAUGAAGUUUCAGAGAAGAUGCACUCACUAUUCAGGGGGCGUCAGCAGAAGUGACAGAUGUGCUACUUUGUGGCUUUGCAUUUCAAAGCUGGCCCUUGGAGAGUCCUACGGACUCUUCCUACCCGAGCCCCGCUGGGCAGGAGCUGUGCCUCUGCCAUCAGUCCGGGCGCCCCCGCGGCCAGGGCUGGUCUCUGCAGUGACCGCGGUCCCUAGGAAGACGGGCACCUGGCUCUCCUGAGGCUGGACAGAGGUCAAGAAAGUCAUUUUUCCUAGAGAGCAGAGUCCUGGGUCCCGAGCAGAGCACGCUUUUCCCGUGAGCCAGCAGGAACAGGGCAGAGGGGCGUCUCCCCCGGCCUCAGGUGUAGGCACAGGAAGGACUGGCAGCAGGAACGCGAGCGUCCCACGCAGGGCCGGCAGCCCUGCCCCCUAGAGCGCUCCCGUGCCGGCUCGCAGCGGCGGUGCCCGCAGCUGGGCGUCAGAGCCCGCGGAGCAGCCCGCCGCCGAGUGGGUGGUGCAGGCAGGGGUGGUAUAUCCUGUCUGCCGAGGGCGGGCCCGCCAGUGCCUGCAGAGGGAAGAGCCGGGGCGGAGGCGCCGGAGCAGCUGCAGGAGCCCUCGGCCGGUCGCACACUCUAUGGCCACAGGCGGCCGCUGAGCGCGAGGAGACCACGCCGCUGCCCGCCGCCGCCCCGCACCGCCCGCGCCUCUCCGCCGCCGCCGGCCGCGCCUCCGCCACCAUGAACCACUCGCCGCUCAAGACCGCGCUGGCUUACGAAUGCUUCCAGGACCAGGACAACUCCACGCUGGCCUUGCCGUCCGACCAAAAGAUGAAGACAGGCACGUCGGGCAGGCAGCGCGUGCAGGAGCAGGUGAUGAUGACCGUCAAGCGGCAGAAGUCCAAGUCCUCCCAGUCGUCCACACUGAGCCACUCCAACCGAGGGCUUUGCAGUCCACCAUGCGUUCCGUGGGCAGCUGGAGCCCAGUACUCAGGCUGAGCGAGACCCCAGUCCUGGUGAUCUUGGUGUGUGGGGCCAGGCCAGGCUGGAUGAGCAACCUGCUGAGACCUCAGUUCCAGGACUUAGUGCUCAGGGAGUCAGAUCAAGUCCCUGGAACACCACAGCACUUUAGCAGGAACUUCACACUCAGGAGAGGCAUAUUUGUUUGAAGUCCAUUUCUAGGGCCAGUGGACCUUUGAUUGCAGGGAAGGCUGUCUGGAUGCCCCAUGUUCCCAACAGCUAAGAACUCUGUUCCAGGUUCCCACAAGUGUCACAUGGGAAGAGUAGGGACUGAAAGUGGCAAAGUUGGGAAUUCCCCGCCUCCAGGGAAGACCCCAGCUGAAAACAGAGGAA
rnacentral:lncRNA from 1 species